rnacentral:lncRNA from 1 species
UCAAUCAAUAAGAUCAAUCUCUUUCUCCAUAUUGUUCUUUAUAUUCCUUUUGCUAUUAGGCUAGUUUCACAACACGUUAUCAGCACGAAAGUGCUCUCUUCAAAACUCUAGUUUCUAAAGCGACAGUCCCAUGAUUUCAACCCGUUUUAUUCCGAAACCUUCGCUGGCCACUUUUUCAAAACCGUCUUCGCUCUACUUUGGCCAACUACCAGCCGAUGGAAUAACUUAUAUCUCCAAGUUAAAUUGCUUUUGAUGUCAAGCUUUGAUUCCAUAACUGCUUCUUCGAGUCACUAACAGCCCGAUCGACGAAUGGGUGCUUUCACGAGAUACAUAAGGUAACACUUAUCCGAAAGGUAACCUUCAUAUAAAAGCUUUACAUUCUUUUGAUUUGCAAUAGUGAGAAGAUAGACUACAUGGGUUAUGGACUUUAAUUCCAUCUCCAUUUCCCACCAAUAUUUCAUAUUAAAUUAUUUAUAUAUUUAAGAGUUUUAAUCUAUCACUUUAUAUACAGUUUAUUUUUUUAUUGGGAUACGAUGGUGGUAAAGAACCAAAAUUUAGGUGAUCAACUGCUUAAAAUAUAUUAAUAAGGAUAUUUGUUAAUAAAUUGAAUAUAUUAAUAAGGAUAUUUGUUAAUAAAUUGAAAAUAUAUUUGAAUUGAAUAAAUCAAUGAGUUAAUUUAAAACAAGUGAAACGGGUUUUGGUCGAAAAUAGUUAUGGACGUAUUGAUUGUAUAUAUUACAAUAUGGGUGGAUAUAGAUUUGUAAUUAUAUUUUAUCAAUCCCUCAAGUACAUCUAGAAGAUGAUGUUGGGAUAUUUUAGUAUGGACAUAGGUGAACCUUAAAAUAUGUUAAAGGUUGUUAAGUCACUUGUUAUAAGAAAUGCCUAUUAUCAUCUCCUACCAAAGCAAAGAUUCUCAUUCUAGAAGUACCAUCGUUAAAUGCAUAUGUGCAUUACUAUGUUUUGCUAGCUAUGUAUGCUUAUAAUAUAUUUCACUUGAGCUUAUUGUCAUGAUAUAGCCUUAGUCAAGCGAAGAGACAUUAGAGGAGUUCAAAGAAAUGUUUCAGGUAUAAAUGAUAUUUGAUUAUAUUUUACUAACCCAUCAAAACAAGCUUGGUUAGUCUUGUAGAUGCAGGAAUGUAACAAAACACGGUCGUGGACAUAUGAUAUUUUUGAAAGGAGGCACCUAAAGUCUCGUUAGAAGAUUAUACAACAUUACUCAACAUAAAGGAUUGCACAUUAAGGGAUCAAGCGACAAAUCAUUGGCUACAAAAGCUUUGAUCAACUUUCAAUGAAGAUGAACACACGUCACUUAAAGGAUACAUGUUAAAAAGAGGGGCAUAAUUAUUCAAGUUGCACCUUUUUUCCCUUGACUAAGUUUUGUCCCAUUGGGUUUUCUUAGUAAGGUUUUUAAUGAUGCAACAUACCUGAUCCAGAAGUAUCAGGGGGAGAUAAUGCGCAUUACACUCUGCACUCUUUUUCCCUUAGCUAUGGUUUUGUCCCACCGGGUUUUCCUAGCAAGGUUUUUAACGAUGCGGCAUCAAGCGCAUUAUGUUGAUAACCAAUGAGGAAUGUUAUGAAUAUAAUUAUUAUUAAUGUGGUUAUUAACACCUAAAAUAGACUAGGCUUGUUCCAUAAGUUUUCCUCUAUUAUAUAUAGUCUCUUGUAUCUGUUAUAAUAUACACCUCAAUCAAUAAGGUUAAUCUCUU